UAGAAGAAGUUCCGACGAACGUAAAUUUUGGGGAUUUAAAACUUAGAUUCUCUAACUUCUAA
rnacentral:tRNA from 1 species